CUGAGUGAAAUCUAUAAAGUCAUUCCUAGCGAUAAGAAAUGCGAUGCUAAAUUUUGCCUACAUGUUUUACUCUUAAAGUAAUUCAUUUUGUUUAAUUUUAUCUAUUCGUGUAAUCAGUAGACUCACCAAGACCUUAAAGUCCAUAGGUAGCAAAUAAUGAAAUUCAAGACAAUCCAGAAAUGUAUGGAUGUCCGUGGCAAUGGUUUUAAAAGUCGAAGCAAUGGGAGAUUGAAAAGUAGGCGUCAGUCACGAAAAUCAAGACUAGAGUGAUGAAACAUCGAAAGAAUUUGCGAUCAGAAUGGAGGACAAUGGACCUCCACAUCAGAGAACGAGAAAAAAGAAUAUUGCGUCUAAUUAGAGGGGUCUCACUGUGGCCGAGUGGUUAGAACCGCUGAAUACUGGGAGUUCAAUCCUAAACGAAUGGGCUGUUGCAUGGUCGAUUUUUGUGGUUUUCCUCACCUGUAAUAUGAAUAUGAGCUAGUUUCCAUUAAAUUCCCCCGUGAAGGCAUCCGUGCUCUCAUAGAGAGCGUUUAUGUGCUUUGCCAAACUCGAAACACCUUACCUAACCUAUCCGUACUCUUUCAGUAACAAUAUUAAUGAAUAAAAAUUAAAUUAUUAACAACAGUAAUAAAGCUACAGUUACCUGAAAUGAGAAAUAUAAGAGAGUAAAAUCCGAAAUAC